AGCACUUCUGGUCGCCGGUCCCGGCUGGUUAGGCUGGUUGGCACCCAGGGAGGCCUCCCUCCAGGUCUUGCCCACACCUCUGCACCUCGUUACCUGACCGGCUUCAGGAUCCGCAGCGUGCACCCGCAUUCCGCCCAUACACACAAGAGCUUAGCACCACGGACAGCACCACAGAAGAAACACAGCUUUGGGAGACUUGGACAUCAAGGACAACAUUGUCAAAGAGCAGAUUUAUUAUUUGGGGGCUUUCAGCGAAAACAGAAAAGCCCUAAAGACUUUUCAGUAGGAACAUCACUUAAUCCAACUUAAAGAGACCUAUAUCCUUUAAGUACUUAUGGAAGCAGAAGCGGCACAUAUCAAGACAAUAUUUUCAGACAAGGCGAUGCUGGUUUGAGCAGAUGCAACAAGGGCACCAACGUACAAUUUUUGUGUCUUCAGAUCCACAAGACUGAUAGAAGUUCUACUCUGCCACCACGUAAGAAUCAACAUCUAAUUUACAGUACUAUUUUAAUUUUCCCAGUUGUAUAAAAGCAUGUCCUUUAUAGCUGUUUUAAAAUCCAUCACUCAAUCAGGUUUCAUGUACUUUGUUGCUAUGCUUCUUUAGUCUCUUUUAAACCAGAACAUUCUCCCUGCCUUGUUAUGACAUUUUUGAUGCUUUUUGAAUUUGUCAUAUAUGAUGCUCCAAAAAUGCAAAUGAGCUUGGUGUGUAUGAGAAAUUGAAAGGAGGUCAGUAUAUCAGGUUUUUCUUGUACCACAUGAUAUCCUUUCAGCCCUACCUCUUCAUCCAGCCAUUACUAAGUUGACCAGGCCUAGAGAGUUUUUCACUAGCUUCAUGCAGGUGCACACUGACAGUGCCUUUCCUUAGUAUCUACCUUUCCAGUACCUUCCUCUUUCCAGCACUGGGCUUCUUUGAGAUGGUGGACUACGACCCUUGCAGAAAUACUCUCAGCAGCCAUGCAUCUGCAAACCAAAAUUGUGGGAGACUUAAUGCCAAUAGGAUGACUUUUUAACAACUGGGGAUGGGGGCAGAUGGAUAAAUACUUCCUUUCAUCUUCUGGGCACACAGUACUAAGAAACAUUUCGUAUUUGGUAGAGAAGGGUGGAAACCAACUUUAGGCCAGAAAAAGUCAUAGAAAGAAGCUGGAUCCUUAUUAUGAGAACCUAUAUCUCUUAUUGGGCAGAUUAUAAUAAAGAUCCAUUGCUGAUAAGUGAUGUGGUGAUUACCCAUGGCAUACUUAGUAUCACAAUUACUAAGAAUAGUCACCUGUGCUUUAUGGGCAGAAAGUGCUGAGAGAAGGUGAAAGACUCCAGUAGCUAUAGCACUAGAAUGGUAGGGGUAUGAUGGUAAUCAUAGGAUUGUGGAAGUACUUGUUUUGGUUUUAACUGCAUUGGAAUUCUUUUUUAAAAAAGAAAAAAGAAUGAAAGAAAGAAGGAAAGAAAAAGAGGGACACAUUAAUGCCCACCAACUACCAAUUCAAGGCACAUUUGGAACACUAGAUGUUCCUGGUGAUAGCAUUUAAAGAAACCCUCACAUCCUGCAAGCACAGGGAAGAGAGUGCUGAAACUCAUAUGGAGGAUCUGAUUUCAAAAAACAUGGCAUACCUGCAAAGGAAAAUGACUGCAUGGUCCCAACAACUCCCAGAUGUCAAAGUUAAUGUUGUGAUGGUGAAACUACAGUAAUCAGAAUACACUGAUAUUGGCUUAAAAACAAACUUAUAGACCAUUGGAACAGAAUUGAGAGUUCAGAAAUAAACCUAAACAUCCGCUGUAAAUUGAUUUCAGCAAGGGUACCAAGACCAUUCAGUGUGGGAAGGAAUUGUCUCUUGAAUAAAUGAUUUUUGGUUUUGUUGGGUUUUUUUUGUUUGUUUUUAAGCUUUAUUUUAAGCUUUAUGUUCAGGGGUACAUGUGCAGGAUGUGCAAGCUUGUUAUACAGGUAAACCUGUCAUGGAGUUUUG